GUUAGUAUUGGAAUAUUUAGUUUAAAAUUGAAAUAUGGAGUGAACAAAGUAUUUGGUGGGGUGACAAUAGCCGCACCCCAAGAGUAAUUAACAUUUUUUUUGAAGAGUAAUUAACAUUACAUAGAAGGAAACAUAUAAUAUUUUCAUAGUCAGGGUUUAAUAGUAUUGAUUUUUUCUUUAACUUUAUGUCGAUUUUGUGCCCUCCAAUUCUCCCAUCUCUAGUGAGUAUGAACUACAAAAAAAACCUUCUAAUUUGUUAAUAUCAUCAAUCUUUUACUCAACUUUUUGUUCGUGUAGAUAUCAUUGAUUUUGAAUAAAGUUUUAAUAAGCUUGUAGGUGGAAAAUGAUGCACAACAUUGCUACAUUUAACACAUAGGUAUCUAAAAUAAAUUUAAGUCUACUUAUCUUUCGUCAAACUCGAACCUCCUUAAAUAAAAAUCAUGCCUCCGCCACCGGAGGUGUCUACCCUAACCAUUUAGAAUAUGAGAAAAAGCGUCAAAUGUUUAUAUAUAGUGGUUGUAUGACCACCAACCUAACCAAAAGUUCCCUAAGUUCUAACGACAAGAGAUUAAUGUUAUUUCUCAAACAUACAUGAUGCAUGUGCAUAUUAUUCGCAGUCAAGCACUCAAGCCUGUCAAGCAUGAACGAACCGAAAAGAGGGUGACUUGCUCACCUGCUCUCAUCCGAGAAUCAAAAGUGGUUAUGGGUGCGUUUGGUGCAGCUUAUAAGCUCCUGUGGCUUAUAAGCACACCAGGUUUUGAUGUUUGGUAAGUUAAAAAUAAGCUGCUUCUUUCAAAAGUAGAAGGUGUUUUUAAGGGAAAAGGAGAAGCUGGUAUUCCCCUCCUUCUCCUUAAAAGCCAGCGCGUUUUUCUUUCGGGGGAGUUAAUGAAUUUUUUGUAAUGACAUUGGGUACCCUUGUGAAUCUUAACAAAUUACACGGUUCAACCAUCACAUAAAAACUCGAGUAUAGACUUGCGCCUCCAUUCUCCUUCGAUCUGAGAAAUACACUGCGCCUUCACUGCUGCACCUUCGCCUCCAUUCUCCUCCGUCGCUGCUGGGCCUUCUCCUCCAUUCUCCUUCGUCGCUGCUGCGCCUUCGCCUCCAUCGCUGCGGAUCGUUUUGCAUCUGUUGGGGCCUUUGCGUGGGUUUGCGUUGCCUUUGCUGCGCCUCCAUUGUUUUGCUGCGUCUCUUGGAGGUCUGCUGCCUAGCAAAUCUGAGAAACGAUUUGGGUUCAAAGGUAACAAUUUCAUUUCUCCCUCGUGUUCAUCUCUAAGAUUGGAAUUUAGCAAUAUUUGUAUGCCUUCUUGUAUCGUUUUUCUGGGUUUUGCUAAGUAAAUAUGUUCAAAAUUUAGACUUGGGAGUUUGCGUAAACAUAAGCUUAUAGUUCUAAGUUGACAUUGUGAUACAAAUGGGUAAAUGAUUAGGAUUAGAGCAUUUGAUUUUUGCUGUUGGUUAGGGUUGAGUAGAAGCUUAUGUUUUUGGCUGUGGCCUGUGGCAGGGUUUAGUAGAAUUUAAUUAUGUGCUUGUGGAUGUGGGUAUUGCUUAUUUAUACAUGAUAUAGAAUACAGAGGAAGGUUUAUAUGGGACAAGGUACAGGUGGGUAAUAGGGACUAGAGAAGUUAGUGAUUUGUAUCAAUAAGCUAGGUUGUGAAGAUUCAUAUCAGUAUUAGAUGCAAAAGAGGAGUCUUAUGAAAGAAGAACAUAAAAUGAUCAUUGCAGAACCUUCAUCUGAAACUAAGCUCAUACAAUCAUAAAGAGAUGCAAUAAGAAGAAACUACUAAUUGUGCAAUUAUGUUAACGAAUUAAUCAGCAGAUCAAAUUUAUGACAUAGACACAUGCGUGUUUUCCCCUGUUAAUGACUGAAGUGGCAAAAAUGCCUUAGUUUCUACAUUAUCCACACCAUCGUUCCGUUUCACUGUAAAAUCUUGCUAAUUGGAAGUAACCUAGUCUAAUAUAUAGCUAUCUUUGCAUUCCCUGUGUGAUGAGU
rnacentral:lncRNA from 1 species